GUGCCAGCCGCCGCGGUAAUACGUAGGGGGCUAGCGUUGUCCGGAUUUAUUGGGCGUAAAGAGCGUGUAGGCGGCCAGGUAGGUCUGCUGUGAAAACUCGAGGCUCAACCUCGAGACGUCGGCGGAAACCAUCUGGCUAGAGUCCGGAAGAGGAGAGUGGAAUUCCUGGUGUAGCGGUGAAAUGCGCAGAUAUCAGGAAGAACACCCGUGGCGAAGGCGGCUCUCUGGGACGGUACUGACGCUGAGACGCGAAAGCGUGGGGAGCGAACAGGAUUAGAUACCCUGGUAGUCC
rnacentral:rRNA from 1 species